CCUACGGAGUGCUGCAGUGGGGAAUAUUGGACAAUGGGCGAAAGCCUGAUCCAGCCAUGCCGCGUGUGUGAAGAAGGCCUUCGGGUUGUAAAGCACUUUCAGUGGGGAAGAAAGCCUUGGGGCUAAUACCCUCGAGGAAGGACAUCACCCACAGAAGAAGCACCGGCUAACUCCGUGCCAGCAGCCGCGGUAAUACGGAGGGUGCGAGCGUUAAUCGGAAUUACUGGGCGUAAAGCGCGCGUAGGCGGUCUGAUAAGCCGGUUGUGAAAGCCCCGGGCUCAACCUGGGAACGGCAUCCGGAACUGUCAGGCUAGAGUGCAGGAGAGGAAGGUAGAAUUCCCGGUGUAGCGGUGAAAUGCGUAGAGAUCGGGAGGAAUACCAGUGGCGAAGGCGGCCUUCUGGACUGACACUGACGCUGAGGUGCGAAAGCGUGGGUAGCAAACAGGAUUAGAUACCCGGGUAGUC
rnacentral:rRNA from 1 species